rnacentral:rRNA from 1 species
UACGUAGGGGGCAAGCGUUGGUCCGGAAUCAUUGGGCGUAAAGAAGCGUGUAGGCGGCCCGGUAAGUCCGUUGUGAAAGUCCAGGGCUCAACCCUGGAAAGCCGAUGGAUACUGCCGGGCUAGAGUUCGGAAGAGGCGAGUGGAAUUCCUGGUGUAGCGGUGGAAUGCGCAGAUAUCAGGAGGAACACCUAUAGCGAAGGCAGCUCGCUGGGACGACACUGACGCUGAGACGCGAAAGCGUGGGGAGCGAACAGG